ACAGUAAAGCAACCAUUUGGUUCAUCGUUUAGGUGAUUCCACGGAAUUGCUAUUACAGUCUCAUUCGUUCAGCUCACCGUUUAGUAUUCAGGGGUUGGGGGUCUGAAUACCUAUUCAACACCACACCGUUUAGGUUUUUAAACCAAAAUAGCCUGCCUCUCUUCUUCCCAAAAUUCUCUCCAGAUUUCUUCCUCCCCAAAUCAAGCAUCCAUUCGCCCUUCAUCUUCAUCUCCCCAAAUAUUGUAAAGGGCUACUCGUAAGUCGGCACCGACAACUGGAGGUGUGAAGAAGCCUCACCGAUAUCGCCCUGGAACUGUAGCUCUGCGUGAAAUCCAGAAGUACCAGAAAAGUACUGAACUCCUCAUCAGGAAACUGCCUUUCCAAAGGCUCGUUCGUGAAAUUGCCCAAGACUUUAAGGGUGGAGGUUGUGAUUCCGACUUUGGGUCUGCAUAUGGCUGUCAAUGCAUGUGCAGCAGCAGCAGUUGCAACUUCUAUGGGUGUCCUCUUUCUCAAGUUAGAAGAUCCUUAUCUCGAUACAUUCCUGUUAGUAUGAGGUCCGAGUUUGUUGUAGCUAAAAGUGGCAUCAAGAUAGUGAAUGAUGCUUUCAAUGCCAAUCCCAUUAGCACCAAAGCCAGCAUCGACACGUUGAAAAACAUCCAUUGUGAUUGAAAAAGAGUUGCUAUUCUUGGGGACAUGUUUGAACUAGGUACUCAUGAGAUAGAGUAUCAUGAGGAUGUAUUAAACUAUUGUCUUGAUGCUUGUAUUGAUGUAGAUGCCAUUGCUGGGUAGAGGUUUCAUUUAGCAGUUGAUAAUAUGAAUUUAAUGAAGAAGAUGAAGGUUGUACAUGCUGUUGAAACAGAAAAUCUUAUUCCUAAAAUCUUGGAACUGUUUGAAUAUGAAUGAUGUAGUCCUCGUGAAAGGUGGGUGUCAGAUGCAAAUGGUGAAAGUUGUGGAUGUAAUCAAGGCAAUGCCGAGAUUCACUCAACCUUCAUGCUCGGGUUCGAAGAAUUGAAGGCAACAACAAGGAUGACAAAUCUGAUGAAAACAACUGCUCAGGAUCGAACUCUUAAAACAGAGUCAUUACCAUGUCUUAAAACAACUUUUUGUGUUUAUAAUAUUUGGAUGGUAUAAUGACAUGAUAGGUUGUCAUUACAAUAUUGUAACUUUUUGUUAAUAUGAAUAUUAUGUUUGGAUAUGAAAUAUAAUUCUCAAGUUAUUUAUUA